GAAGCUCGAAUGUGCCUGAGAUAUGAAGGUGGUGAUGGGACCACUGGUGGACCGAUGAUUGGAGUCAUACCCUGCCGAGCAGAAGGUGGUGGGAGAUGUUCCAGAUGUGCUACUUGAGUUACCAAGAUGAGCGUGUGGAGAGGUGCGGGCUGGGCGAAACAGAGCAAUGGUGAAGUAUCUAUUUAUGAUGUAGCAGCAUGUGUGGAGGCCAACCAACGCCACACUGCAGAGUAACGGAAGAGGCUGUGACCUGCAGGCGAGUGUGAUAUGUUCAUUUCAACACAUCUUCCUCCAAGAAUUUAGUUACGUAGUCCAUAAAACUGAAAUCCCAAGUAAUAGUAAAUAUCAUUCUGCAGGUGGAGUGGCGCUUGGUUUCAUAACCCAGUGCAUGUCCCAUUUCAAAACUGGCCCAUGAGGCACCUGCUUCCCAAGCUGUCUCGUUUUUAGAACAGUGCAUGGCCGUGUAUUUGAGAUAGUAAUGGUGAUAAGGAAUGUUUAUCGUAUAUGAAUGUUCAGAAUGCUGAAUAGAAUAUAGUUUCGCAGUUGACACGCUUGACUACCCUAGAGGUGGAUGACGUUGGUACCAUCCUGUGUGGUUACUCUAGGGACAACCUCCAGCUGUUGAAGGAUCAAGUUUCACUCUUCCAUACAAGAACCGAGUACGGAAGGCGCACAAGGUACACCAUUGAUGAACCAGGAAAAGGGAUGGAGCCCGAGGGCAGACUACUGCGCCCAUGAGGUCGACACACAAUCGUAGUUACAGCGGGCAGCCGCCGCGUUCGCCCUUGGG